AGCUUUGCGCAGUGGCAGUAUCGUAGCCAAUGAGGUUUAUCCGAGGCGCGAUUAUUGCUAAUUGAAAACUUAGGAGCCCUCUGCCCUCUGGGGGAAAGAGACGUGGGUUUUUUUUUUUUUUUUUUUGGCAGAAA